GGAUGUGAGGGCGAUCUGGGUAGUUGGGCAUGUUUCCCCUUUCUCCUUCAUUGCUCCACAUGCUCAGUUGAUGAGAAUGGCCUCCCCAAUAGACUGUUCUUCAGUCAAGAGCAUAUGAGUAACUGCGCACCCCUGCUAGAACCUCCAAACAAGCUCUCCAAAGGGAUACAUAGGAAAAAAGAAAGAAGAAAGCAGUGACGAUUUCUGAGCAAGUCUAAAACCAGUCUUCUUAGGCUCAGUGCUCUAUGUUCUAGGACUAUUGGA
ensembl:misc_RNA 7SK 7SK RNA